UCUUGUAUUCUUGCAUCUAGCAUUUUCCUCGCUGUAGUGAGGUGAACAGUUGUGUGUUUCACACGGCUGCAAAAUAUUUUUUACCUUCGUGCUUUUGAAA